rnacentral:rRNA from 1 species
AGCGAACGCUGGCGGCAGGCCUAAAACAUGCAAGUCGAACGGAUCCUUCGGGAUUAGUGGCGGACGGGUGAGUAACACGUGGGAACGUGCCUUUUGGUUCGGAACAACUCAGGGAAACUUGAGCUAAUACCGGAUGUGCCCUUCGGGGAAAGAUUUAUCGCCAUUAGAGCGGCCCGCGUCUGAUUAGCUUGUUGGUGGGGUAAUGGCCCACCAAGGCGACGAUCAGUAGCUGGUCUGAGAGGAUGAUCAGCCACACUGGGACUGAGACACGGCCCAGACUCCUACGGGAGGCAGCAGUUAGGAAUCUUGCGCAAUGGGGGAAACCCUGACGCAGCCAUGCCGCGUGAAUGAUGAAGGUCUUAGGAUUGUAAAAUUCUUUCAGCGGGGACGAUAAUGACGGUACCCGCAGAAGAAGCCCCGGCUAACUUCGUGCCAGCAGCCGCGGUAAU